GUGUUCGCUUCAGCAGCACAUAUACUAUAAUUGAAAUGAUACAGAGAAGAUUAGCAUGGCCCCUGUGCAAGGAUGACAUUCAAAUUCGUGAAGGGUUCCAUAUUUAA
ensembl:snRNA U6 U6 spliceosomal RNA